CUGGGAUAACACCUGGAAACAGAUGCUAAUACCGGAUAACAACACUAUACGCAUGUCUAGAGUUUGAAAGAUGGUUCUGCUAUCACUCUUGGAUGGACCUGCGGUGCAUUAGCUAGUUGGUAAGGUAACGGCUUACCAAGGCAAUGAUGCAUAGCCGAGUUGAGAGACUGAUCGGCCACAUUGGGACUGAGACACGGCCCAAACUCCUACGGGAGGCAGCAGUAGGGAAUCUUCCACAAUGGACGAAAGUCUGAUGGAGCAACGCCGCGUGAGUGAAGAAGGGUUUCGGCUCGUAAAGCUCUGUUGGUAGUGAAGAAAGAUAGAGGUAGUAACUGGCCUUUAUUUGACGGUAAUUACUUAGAAAGUCACGGCUAACUACGUGCCAGCAGCCGCGGUAAUACGUAGGUGGCAAGCGUUGUCCGGAUUUAUUGGGCGUAAAGCGAGUGCAGGCGGUUCAAUAAGUCUGAUGUGAAAGCCUUCGGCUCAACCGGAGAAUUGCAUCAGAAACUGUUGAACUUGAGUGCAGAAGAGGAGAGUGGAACUCCAUGUGUAGCGGUGGAAUGCGUAGAUAUAUGGAAGAACACCAGUGGCGAAGGCGGCUCUCUGGUCUGCAACUGACGCUGAGGCUCGAAAGCAUGGGUAGCGAACAGGAUUAGAUACCCUGGUAGUCCAUGCCGUAAAC
rnacentral:rRNA from 1 species